rnacentral:rRNA from 1 species
AUGCCCACCAAUGGCGGCGGCGCGGCGCGUUCGCUCGGCCUUGGCAUCUCCCCACCCAAACCGGCGGCGCUGUUAUUCCUGCUCCUCCACUGUUCCCUGCGGGCCGCGUCUGCCACCACGGACACCAUCCUCCCCGGCAAGGGCAUCUCCGGGAACGAGACCCUGGUCUCCAAGAGCGGCGGCUUCGAGCUGGGCUUCUUUCCGCCGGGCCCCGGCAUCCACUACUUCCUGGGGGUCCGGUUCAGGAACAUGGCGGGGAACAGCCCCACCUUCUGGCUCGGGGACAGGGUCGUCAUCACCGACCUGCCCGCCGCGUCGCUGGAGAUCUUCGGCGACAGCCUCUACAUCAAGGAGAAUGGGGCCAGCCUCUGGUGGUCGCUGUCACCGGGCGGCAAUGCGUCGUCCGCCGCCGUGGCGGUCCUCCACGACAACGGCAACCUGGUGGUGAGGGACCAGGGGAACUCCUCCCUGGUCCUGUGGCAGAGCUUCGACUACCCCGGCGACGCGAUGCUCCCCGGCGCGAGGCUCGGGCUCGACAGGGACACCGGGAAGAACGUCUCGCUGACGUUCAAGAGCUUCUCGCACAACGGCAGCCUCAGCGUCGACGCGACCAGGAGGAACGGGUUCGUGCUCACCACCGACGGGCACGCCAACGGCGGCACCUUCCCGGACUGGAUGGUGUCCUCUCAAGACAACGGCAGCUCGCUGCUGCUGAAUCGCCCGGAAACCGCGAAUGGGACCGAGUUCUUGCAGUUCAAUCUGGGGCAGAUCAGCCUGAUGAGGUGGUCGGAGCCGGAUCCCGCCGCAAACGGCACCGGCGGCUGGGUCGCUCGCUGGUCCUUCCCUUCCGAUUGCAAAUCCGGCAGGUUCUUCUGCGGCGACUUCGGCGCCUGCACGGGCAGCGGGAAGUGCGGCUGCGUGGACGGGUUCGCGCCGUCGUACCCGAUUGAGUGGGGGCUUGGGUACUUCGUCACCGGCUGCUCGAGGUCUCUCCCGCUGAGCUGCGAGUCCGACGGCCAGACGGAGCACGACGACUCCUUCGCCCCGCUGGACAAGCUGCAAGGGCUUCCUUACAACGCCCAGGACGAGGUGGCCGGAACCGACGAAGACUGCAGGGCGGCUUGCCGGAGCAAAUGCUACUGCGUCGCCUAUUCGUAUGGCCAUGGAUGCAAGCUAUGGUACCACAACCUGUACAAUCUGAGUUUGGCUGCUAGGCCUCCGUACACCAAGAUCUACCUCCGUUUGGGCUCCAAGCUCAGGAACAAGAAAGGCUUGCAAACAAGAGGAAUAGUGUUAUUGGUAACUGGAUUCAUAGGCCUUGCUUCUUUGGUACUGAUAUCGGUGUUGCUAUGGAAAUUCAGGAGGGAUUCAUUUGGCGCCGGGAAGUUUGAAGUAGAAGGCCCUCUUGCAGUCUACUCUUAUGCACAGAUCAAGAAAGCCACGAUGAAUUUCUCUGAUAAAAUCGGCGAGGGAGGAUUCGGAAGUGUUUUCAGGGGAACAAUGCCAGGAUCAACUGCCAUCGCUGUGAAGGAUCUCAAGGUCCUCGGGCAAGCAGAGAAGCAAUUCAGGACAGAAGUUCAGACACUUGGGAUGAUCCAGCACAGCAAUCUUGUUCGUCUCUUGGGAUUUUGCGUCAAAGGGAAAAGAAGAUUGCUGGUGUAUGAGUGCAUGCCAAAUGGCUCUUUGGAUGCUCAUCUCUUUUCAGAGAAGUCUGGUCUGUUGAGUUGGAAUGUUCGGUGCCAAAUUGCACUAGGCAUCGCCAAGGGUCUAGCCUAUCUACAUGAAGAAUGUGAGGACUGUAUCAUACACUGUGACAUCAAACCUGAGAACAUACUGCUUGAUGCAGAAUUCUGCCCCAAGAUUGCCGAUUUCGGUAUGGCAAAGCUGCUUGGACGAGAAUUCAACUCCGCGCUGACCACCAUCCGAGGAACCAUGGGAUAUCUUGCGCCGGAGUGGAUAUCGGGGCUGCCGAUCACUAAGAAGGCAGAUGUGUACAGCUUCGGCAUUGUGCUCUUCGAGAUCAUCUCGGGGAGAAGGAGCACUGAGGUGGUGAAAUUUGGGAGCCAUCGAUAUUUUCCGGUCUAUGCCGCUGCUCAGGGUCGCCUGUUGGUGCAUUCAGGACGAGGAGAAUGA